ACGUAACGUAGGGUCGCUACCGCUCUCGCAAAAGCUGUCGCUGGAAAACUGCAGUGCGCCUGGACGAAAGUGUUUUCCAAAGUCGAUGAUACUCGUCACGUUUUUCCGUGGAUAGGUACGAACGCGCGCCUGUCGAGGAAACUCAGGAUCGUCGGCAUCUAUACGGAAGAGUUCUACAAAUAUCAUUGCCCCACGAUUUUAUUGGCUGAACAUUGCGCGCCUUUAUUAUUUAUUUCGCGAUAAGAAUCAUUCAGUAUGAGAAUCGGCUUUUAUAUCAUCAGUAUAUUAUUUCUACUGAUGAUGACGGUAACGGCGUUCAGAGUGCCAGUAAGCGUGCUACGGCAAAAGAAGAGAAUCGGUGCGCACAUGAUGCGCAAACCAAGAUUGGCCCUAUGGCAUCGGCAGCAGCGUUCAUUCUCCUAAACACUUGCAAGCUACGAUAAUCCACCUCGCACGUGACGUGAAUAUUUCAACGCGUAAAGUAACCACAAGAAACUUUACAUUAUGCGUAUCAUGUAGUAGUAUUACUAUACUCAAUGUAAUUCUAACGUUUUAUGAUAACAGAAUGAGUUUUAAGUAAGCUCGUUUAAAAUAAAUUUAUUUUUUUUUAUUCUACUAAGUAUUAUUGAUUAGGUACGCGCACAUUACGUAAUAGUUGCAUAUAUAUAUAUAUAUAUAAAAUGAGGUAAUAUCGCAAUAAAAGUGUCAAAAUGUUAUUUGUUGGUGCAUGAUUUGUUAAACAGUCGAUGCAAAUUAUGUUUUAAUGAGUAGCGCAUUUCUUUCAGCAGCUACAUAGAUAAUACAUUCAUAUACAUAUGUGUUUAUUCAAACGCGGAUAAUCGGGCAUGUUAUCAUGAAUCGUUAAUCAAUGACUGUUAAAGCAACCGGUUUGAUUUUCUAUUCAAUAAAAAAAGGAUAUGAUUUAUGGAUAUUCUCUCAACAUUUGCAAAGUCAGAGAGAUGUCUAGCGGUAAGUUCUAUAUCUGCUCGUAAAUCCGUACGCUUAGAAUCUGUCAUAAAAAUACGCUCGAAGAUAAAGCGACUCACUUUCGAAACUGGGUAAAUGCCUCGUCAUAUGCCCGGAGUCAAAGCAACGCCUUGUGCGACAUGAAUAUUUACUACCGGAGGUGAUUUUUGUAAGCUCUGAAGGACUAGCGAGUUCUCAAUGGUAUCUCAGUACCUUUCAAACGCAGACCGUGGCGUAUCUCGUACAAAUUUCCGUGGCCUAUAUCUGUGCUUACUUCGAUUUUGCAUUUUAUUUUAUAUUUAGCAUUAGCUGCUCUAACGUACCGCUCUAUCGUUAUAAAUAAAAUCACUUCUCCGAGAUAUAUUGAAAACAAAAGUUGAAUUAGGUGAGAAUUGUUUUUCAUAAUCACGAUACAUCAAGGUGUUUAUUAAUUUUAAUAGAAAUUAUUUUGAUUUCUAGAUGUUUAAUUGGUGCAAUAUUAAUAGCUUAAAACUGUCUGAUCAAGAUUUCGAAUGCAAAUGAACAUUAACUGAAAAUUGCUCUUAUGCAACGUAAUAUGUCAAGUCUGCCUUAUAAGUAAAUGUUCUUGAAGCAAAGAAAUAGGCCACUGGUUUAGUAUGAAUCAUCUUGUAACGUCAAUGACGUCGCGUUUUACCAUGGCGAUAGAGGUAGCCCGUUCCACUUUGAAGUGAACUGCGAAACGACAUUGGUUACGAUCGAAAUAAAUGGUCUCUACGAUAGAAGACGGAGGAGGAACGUUAACGUGAUGGAGGUAGAAUUCGUCGUAGUUUUAUUCUGAUGUUGGGCUCACGUUCAAUCGUGCAGGUGGAAAGAAGGAGGGGAGGGAGGAUUGCAGGAACGUGGGUGGUUAUGGGAGUAGCGGUAAGGCGCUGCAGAUUCUCAGAGAGACGGUUCGAUCUGCCGAUCGCUAAAAGAAUCAAAUAGAGGGCGAGGUUCCCUUGCGAAAUUUCGCGCUGAUAUCGUAUAUACGUUCGUUGUACAUGAAUGUAGCGUAUAUAAAUUUUUUUGCGCAACAAAAAUUUAUUUUCCAAUCUUUCAUUUCAUCGAGAUUUUUAUAAAAUUCUGUAUGCUUAUUGCGAAAAAUUCGUAAAAAUUUGCGAUGGAUCCGAAUUAUGUGAUAAAUAAAAUACCAAGUUAACAUAAAAUUAAUAAUAAAUGUAUGCGGAAAUUUGUGAGAGAAUAUGUGGUGUAUCUGCUUAUUACUCUUUUCCUGACAUUAUUUGCUUUUCGUAAAAACACACAACGAGUGAACCAGGAUAGAAAAUUAAAAGUUUAAAUGUUUAACGGGGGUUCCCGCAUCUCUCUACACGCGCACGUUUCGGUAAUUCCAGUUUCUUUAAAUUUCUGUCUCCAAGCGAAACAUUCUCUCAUACAUUGAAAGAGCAUGAAGUACAAAAACAUGUUUUUCCCCGUACAUGUAUAUUCUUGUUUGAUAAGUAUAAAAAGAACGUCGCCGUCUGCAGUUACGAGUGAGAUAAGAUUCGGUUCUUCCCGUCAAUGAAAUAAAGCGCGCGCAUAAUGAGAAAACAUAUAUAUACAAUGUGUAUAUAAUGACGUUUGGAAGAGAGAUACUAUCACACUUCUCUAAUUUACAAGCGUGAGAAGACAUCAGCUGAUCCUAUCAUCCGCGAGGAAACACAAGUUAAGCGAGAAACCAAAAACGCAAUAUGAAAUUUCACUUGUUCAUCUUCGUACUGCUCUUGGCAACGAUAGCGAUCCUUGCGUAUCAACCGCCAAUCAGGAAUCCACCUCCAGGUGGAUGGAAACCCUUCCCGACUUUCCCCGGUCAGGGACCUUAUAACCCGAAGAUUAGAUUUCCUCAUUAGAGAGAGAUAAUAUAACUAAACGAUGAUUUCUGCUCACGUCUAUUUGAGUUGAAAAUGAUACCGACAUUAAUCGUUCAUUUACUUUUAUAAGAUAAAGCGUAACGAAUGUUUGGCGAAGGUGAUGAAUACUUUUUGUAAUAAAGACAAAUGAAAAUCUAAGUAUUAUUUAAACAUUUCUUUCAACCUGCGCAAAAUAUUUAAGCACUAAAAUAAGAAAAUAAAAAAAUUUUUUUGACUCACCGACCCGAUGCGCAAUGAGCGGAGUUAUUCAGCCACUAGAUCCUGCGAUGUAAUCUGUAACAUACAAGUAAAAGAGAAAUUAUAACAUUGCUCAAAAUAAUUAAUAUUUGAAGAAAUAAUUAUUUCGUUCAUAGAAUAUUAUUCGUACAUUAAAUAUAAUAAAAUUUAAUUUUUCAAAAUCUCCUUUAUUUUUAAGCUUAAUCAUAUAGUUUUUACAAGAAAAAAUCUCUUUGCUCUAAUGUUUAUUUAAAUUCAAAUGAAUGAUUAAAAUAAAGAACGAAGAUGCAAUUGCAGUAAAUAAUUCAGAUUAAUGCGAACAAAAAAUUGAUCGAUUUUAUAACAUUAACGUUUUAAUGCGCGCUACAAGGAUCCACGUAAAUGUGAUCGUUUAUUUCGAUUUUUCUUUUAGACGAGAAAUGUAACUGCGCGAGAUACUUUAAAACAGUCUCUUUGCUCCUAUCACAAUAAAUAUCCCAAACGUAAUUUCGUUACAUUCGAUUUUUCCUCAGCAUUCGAAUCGGUCGUGCAUCGGUUUUUGCAAUCCUAUAAACGAGUGACUCCUCGUUGUCCGUGGAUCUGAUAACGCUAAUUACGCUAAUACAUUAUACGAGCGGAAGCCCCGAAAUAACGAGUGCGGCACCAAGCUCCAUGUGCACCCGGUUGCAUUUACCUCUGGCAAUGCCUAUCGCGUAGGUAGACGAGGGUGUCCUAAUUACCUACCGCCCGGCGAGACGCCUUCUUGCCCGCAUGUAAACACCUUCAUUACCACUGAACUGCUCCAUAAAAUAUUUCCCCAGGAUAGUUGUUCGGUAUAGGUAAUAACCCCAAUCCACGGAACUCUAUAAAACGUCGCUCCUUAUGGCCGCUAACUUAGUGAAGGAUAAUUAUCGCCCGUUAUGCCAGCUGAUUAUGUUAUCGUUACGAUGUCAUAACGCGAUCACAGCGAAAACACGGAAUGCGAUCUUUAUGCAUAGCAGCAACUUGAUGUAAUACGCUUUUAUCCAACAAGCUGUUAAGAGUACUUUUGUAACAAACGAGAGAUCCAAGUGUUAUUUGCAAUGUAUCUCUCAUCGCGAUGCAAUAAUUGAGUUUGUAGUAUGUCAUAAAUCUGUUUGCAGAUUUACGAUCAUGGAGCUAUAAAGAGAAUAUUAUCGAAUCGGUAAAAUGGAAAGGUAAAUUAUUUUAUAUACAUUGCCAACAUUACACCGUCAUGCUACACUUAUUAAACUAUUAAUGAAUAAUAUUUUGCAUACAAUUAGUUGCAUAAUUGAACAUACUGCAAUUGGCGAAGACAAAAUAAUGCUAUAAGUAUUGGAGUAAUUUUCAAUUUCCCAUUUUUUAUUCAACGUCCUCUUAGUCAUAACUAUAACACGUAUAUAGCUGUGAUCAUGUAUCGCUAUGACAGUCAAUAAAGUCACUCGUUUAUAGUCAAUCCUAAAAUAUUUAUUCGCUUCUUCUUAGCGUACGCUUAGGGGAGCGGAAACACAGUAGAAACGUGUCGGAUUUUAAACCAAGGACUAAGCUUUAGGAAAUAUCUCGGUUUCCUCGCAAGAGAGACACUAUCCAGCUUUCUCGUAUCGACGAGUAAACGACCUCAAACUCUAGCCGCCCUUAUAUUUCAUGCCCAAGUAAAAGUUCCUGUUCUGUACCAGGCGCGUCGAUAUUCUCGGUCGCGGCGAAGCCCCUUCGCAACUGAAAAAUGUAUUCUUACAAGAUAGAUAUUCCCAUAAUUUUACGCGAGUUGUACGUGCUUCUGAAAAUAGGUAAUCUUCCCGCAGUUCAAAGUUAUUUUCAUAUCACGCCGCGUCUGGCGAUAAGUGUUUAUCUGUGGUUUAUGAACGAGAGUCGUAUGCUUCAUUUUCAGUCUGGAGAAUGCGAGUUUAAAGGGUAUCAUUUAUGAUUGAUAAUAUGAUAAAAAAUACGGCUUUUAAUAUUAACCGAGAUAUCCCCCUUAUCCUUCUUUCCAUAUUUCAGAUGUUGCUAAAAUAUUUAUUUAAAAAUUUUGUUGUCACACAUACACAUACAUAUAUUUUUUUUCGCUAGUUUCAUGUAACUCGUAUUUUGCAAAACAAGAUAUUUUUUUAUCCCUUGAUUAUUUAUAUUAUUGUAUAAACUAUUCUUUGUUUCAAAAUAAUUUUUAUUUUUACGUUGCUAACGCAAUUGUAAUUCUCUUUGUAAUUUCAUUCUCUUUCUACUACUGUUGUAAAACAUAUACGCCACUUUUAACAUAUAAAUAGGAAUAUAUAUUUUCUUUCUUCAAAAAAUUGCUCGGUGUUUGCGGUAUUCACGGUAUUGUAAAAUGUAUGAACAGUUAAUUAAAAAAUUUUUUCCAAUUGUCAUCCAAUUUUACGGUAUUUAUUUUGUUUGUCAUCCAUGUGAUUUUAUGUACAAUAAUGUACACUACAACAAUAAUUAUAGUAAAAAGAGUAGAAAGGGAAACAAAAAGAACAGUUGUUAUUAAUGUUCGUAUGAAAAAAAACCCUUUUAUGAGAAUACUGGAAUUACAAUAAUAUGUGUAUGUGACAAAAAAGGAUUCAAUUUACAGAUUUUUGGAUACGAAAAGUCCUUAAAUAUAUGAAAAGUAUAUCUUGUCCGAAACAAGAUGGAUAAAGCCGUUAAAUCAUCAGCAAAGAGUGCGACGCCACGUCACUGGCUGUGAUGACAGGCGUGAUAAUGCUAAGCCCGAGGGACUUUCCCGUAACUUGGAUUUUGCGCUGUUUUUCGCGUCUUACAUCGAACGAUAACGAUUAAUGAUAAGAGAACAAUAUAUUUGAACGUGAGGCUCGCAACGUACAUCAUGAUGCUGUUAGUUGCAAUCUGCGCUUUGUUUACCGAUACUCAUGCACUCCCGGAACACAGACCUCGCUUACCGGAAGGUCCUGGCUACGUCCUAUUUAAUCCUUGACAACCUUGGCCAGUACCGUGGCCAAAUCACGGCCGUUAAUAA